UGUUGCCUGCUCCCCACAGAAACACCCUUAUGGUCUCUAGGAGGGUCAAUCGGAUCCACAAGAUGAAGAAUGCCAUUGUGUGAGUACAGAUUUGAACCCUGUUGCUAAUCACUGGAUGACCCUUUGGGCUAUUUAUCAAAAGGAUCUGCGCCUUUUCUAAGCCUAAACUCGAGAGUCAAUGAUUAUCCUUUUGUCACAGUCUUUUCUCCAUACUUUGUCCUAUUUUUUUCUCCUACAAAAACCAAACACAUUAGCCCAGCAUAGUUGUGCAUGCCUGUAGUCCCAGCUACUUGGGAGGCUGAGUUGGGAGGAUCACUGAAGCCCAGAAGGUGGAGGUUAUAGUGAGCUGAGAUCGUGCCACUGUACUCCAGCCUGGGCGUCAGAGCGAGACCCCAUCUCUAUUUAAAAAUAAGAAGAAGAAGAAAGAAAGAAAGAAAGAAAAUAAGAAAUUAUAGGCCGGGCAUGGUGGCUCACACCUGUAAUCCCAACACUUUGGGAGGCCGAGGCAAGCUGACCACCUGAGGUCAGGAGUUCGAGACCAGCCUGGUCAACACGGUGAAACCCUGUCUCUACUAAAAAUACAAAAAUUAGCUGGGCGUGGUGGUGGCACACGCCUGUAAUCCCAGCUACUUGGGAGGCUCAGGCAGGAGAAUUGCUUGAAUUCAGGAGGCAGAGGUUGAAGUGAGCUGAGAUUGUGCCAUUGUGCUCCAGCCUGGGCGACAAGAGCGAAACUCUGUCUUGGGGAAAAAAAAAUAUACAUAUAUAUAUUUUUUUCAUAUGUGUGUAUAUAUAUAUAAAAAACCCAAACAUCUACUGAUUGUUUGAUCUAGUUAUCAUAUAUUGAUUUAAA
rnacentral:lncRNA from 10 species